CUCAUAAGGUUGCUACUAGAACUAAAACAAAUUGUUAGAAGUGUGCAACAAAUUGGCCAGAUGUCGCUGAGGCAUAAAUUCUCUCUUAAAAGUAAGUGCUGGGUCAUUUGUGCAUGAGGACAAAGGCAACUUCAACUUGAUAUUUCUAUCAUCCCUGCUGUGUGAAGAGUCCUUUUCCUGGUUUAUAACAUCAAUCACUCUCGCAAUAAAUCUUCGUAGUGGAUAUGGUCAUUUAAAUCUCCACCUGCACAAACAACAGAAAAUAAGAGAGCCCAUAAAUCUCUACACCGUUUACAGCAUAGGGGGAAAGCAAACAAGACCCUGCUAACAAAACAAAAUGUUAGAGGUUAGUGAAUUCCCAGCUGAGCCCAGGAUUAGAGAUAUGGUAUCUUAACGUAGGAGAGGGGUGCAGAUUCCGAGCCAAAAGCUCAGAAUCCGCUCUUGCAUUUUGCUCUAGCCCCUCAUUGUCAAUGCUUAAUUGCAAGGAAAUAAA